rnacentral:lncRNA from 1 species
GCAGCCACGGGCACCCUGCAAGCUUUCACUGCCGUAAAGAAAAGCGCCUGGGUCAGGACCCACGGAAGAACGGAUCGACCUGGCUGUUUGGCUUAGAAACCUCGUGACCGAACUGUUGACUUCAGCAGCGCCGGAGGGCUCAACAGUCCCAAGGCCUGGAUGGUUCUCCUAGCAGCUGGACUCCCUGGAAUGGUUGAUUUGUUGGCCCGGUCACCAGAUAUCCUGGGACGGUGAAGAUGAGAGGAUAUGGCUCUAGGGAGCUCUUCCAGUGUUUGCCUAGGGCUGAAAAAGGAAAAUUGCACCAGGCAGUGAAGUCAGCAUGGAAGACUAUUUUUAAGACUACUGCAAUUGAGGGAUUGAAUUCGGGACCUUGUGCUUUCGAGGCAGGUGCUGGAACCACUGAGCUAAAUCCCCGGCCCCCGCCAUGAUGUUUCUGCCUCACCACGGGCUCAGAAGCAAUGAAGCCAGGUGACCAUGGACUGAAACCUCUGAAACCAUGAGCCAAAAUAAAUCUUUCCCCCUUUG